AAAAAGGCCAAUAGGUCCGGGUGCUCACCCGUAUUUCCACUAUCCGAAGGAAAUCUAGCGUCCAAAAAGCGGCGAGGAGCGCCUUUCAGAGGCGCGGGUCGUGGGCUGCGGCAGGGGAAAGUGUCUCCCCAAAAAGGCAGAAGAGCUUCUCUGCGUCCGGGGAGUCUUGGUGUCGCUCGGGUGUUGUAAGUUCCAGUGGGCAAAGUUUCGCGGAUGCGGCGCGGGUGGCGGACCGCUAGCAGGGGUCCGNNNNNNNNNNNNNNNNNNNNNNNNNCGGCCGGGCUGGAGGCGCAGAAGCCCCCCUUUGACUCCGGAUCUCCCUUCCCCGGGCGCCCGGAGCGCGACUCCGCUCGCUAGGCUGGCUCGGCUCUUCCACCCUGGAGGGCCCGCCCGCUCGCUCCCUCUGCCUCUCGCUGGAAUUACUACAGCGAGUCAGAUAAAGCCCAGAAAAAACUGGCUUUUAUACGAGAAGGCCAACUGCAGAGAGGUGGAAAGAAAAGGAAUCACCGGAGAGAAAAGUGGUUCAGAGGCGGCUGUCCAACUGCGUAAGAGGUGGUGA
rnacentral:lncRNA from 1 species